rnacentral:rRNA from 1 species
UAUACAUGCAAGUCGAACGAACUUCCGUUAAUUGAUUAUGGACGUGCUUGCACUGAAUGAGAUUUUAACACGAAGUGAGUGGCGGACGGGUGAGUAACACGUGGGUAACCUGCCCAGAAGCAGGGGAUAACACCUGGAAACAGAUGCUAAUACCGUAUAACAGAGAAAACCGCCUGGUUUUCUUUUAAAAGAUGGCUCUGCUAUCACUUCUGGAUGGACCCGCGGCGCAUUAGCUAGUUGGUGAGGUAACGGCUCACCAAGGCGAUGAUGCGUAGCCGACCUGAGAGGGUAAUCGGCCACAUUGGGACUGAGACACGGCCCAGACUCCUACGGGAGGCAGCAGUAGGGAAUCUUCCACAAUGGACGCAAGUCUGAUGGAGCAACGCCGCGUGAGUGAAGAAGGGUUUCGGCUCGUAAAGCUCUGUUGUUAAAGAAGAACGUGGGUGAGAGUAACUGUUCACCCAGUGACGGUAUUUAACCAGAAAGCCACGGCUAACUACGUGCCAGCAGCCGCGGUAAUACGUAGGUGGCAAGCGUUAUCCGGAUUUAUUGGGCGUAAAGCGAGCGCAGGCGGUCUUUUAAGUCUAAUGUGAAAGCCUUCGGCCCACCCGAAGAAGUGCAUUGAAAACUGGGAGACUUGAGUGCAGAAGAGGACAGUGGAACUCCAUGUGUAGCGGUGAAAUGCGUAGAUAUAUGGAAGAACACCAGUGGCGAAGGCGGCUGUCUGGUCUGUAACUGACGCUGAGGCUCGAAAGCAUGGUAGCGAACAGGAUUAGAUACCCUGGUAGUCCAUGCCGUAAACGAUGAUUACUAAGUGUUGGAGGGUUUCCGCCCUUCAGUGCUGCAGCUAACGCAUUAAGUAAUCCGCCUGGGGAGUACGACCGCAAGGUUGAACUCAAAGAUUGACGGGG